UGUUGGGUGCAGACAUCGCCAACUUAGGUGGCGUUUGUUUUUUUGACUGAAAUCUAAAUAGACCUGAAUUAGUCUGAAUUCUGAAUAGAUCUGAAUGUCUGAAUCUGAAUAAUAUGUUUGUUUUUUCGUCUGAAUCUCGGAAAAUAUAUAUUAAGUUGUUUUUUUUUCAACUGAAAAAGCUGAAAAUAUGUACAUUUACAUUUGUAUCUUUAUUAAAUUUGAAUGUCAAAUAAAUAAUAUAUUAAAUACCACAAUAUUUUAACAUUUAUAAGUAAAAUUAUAUUUAAGUGAAUACAUAAUCAUUUUAGAAUUUUAAUAUAUAAAAUAACAUAAAUUUUAAAUUUUAUCGUAUAUAAUAUAAGAAAGAAAAAAUGUAGAUAUUUUUAUGUGGGGUAAAUGUCUAUGAGUGAGUUUUGGGAUAAACAUGAAAAAUAAAUUAUAACACAUGGAUAUUUUUGACAUUAGUAAGUAAUUGACUUAAUUCAAAUUUCUCCAUUAAGUAAAAAGCAAAAACAAUUGGCUUAUUUUAUUAAGUCAAAAUUAUCUAAAAAGUCUCAUUAAGUUAUAAAAACAAACACCUCUAAUUAACUUAAUUAAUUAAGUUAAGUCAUUAAGUUAAAAAACAAACGCCAACUUAGUCAUGAAAUAGUGUAAAAAUAUUGUUAGGAUAGCAUGAGGAAAAUUCAUUUUCACCGUGAAUAUGGGUUAAUUGGUUCAAGCAAAUAUUGAAGGAAGUCAAGAACGGACGUAAGGCAUUUGAAUUUGGCGCACUCUAACUCAAUAUAAGAAAAGACUAGCGUAAUGUUGCGGACCGCCUAAGUUGCUAGCCCAAAUUACCUACCAAGAGCCCAAGACAAGGCCAAAAGUACUAACUUGGCUCGAUUUCGAAAAGUUCUAGGCAACUCUAGUACAUUUGAGCUUGUAAAUAAUUUAGAAUACUCUACACAUUUCUAGCUCAUGUAAAUAUCUAGAAUUCUAGGCAUGUGGUAGAAUUCUUUAGAAUCUCUAGAGCUUGGCAAGCCUCCCCUAUAAAUAGGGCAUGACAUUUAGCAUUUGAGCAACAAGCUUAGAGCAAGCAACUCAAGCAUUCUUGUAAGCUCUCUUGUAAUAUUUCUUGUGAGUAAUACAAUUCUCUUCAUUCGGCUCCAUUGCUCUCUUAUCUCUAGCUCUUCGAAAACCUUUAGGCUUAGCUAGUCGAGAAGUUCAAGGCUUACUUUGCAAUAUUCGUCAAAGGUUGUCUAAGUGCCGCACGGGUUUGCUGCACAAAACAUUCAUCCCGUGACAGUAAGGAUGCUUCCACUCCAUUAUUUUUCUGUAAAUUCAUUCUAU
rnacentral:lncRNA from 1 species